UUACUACUCCCUCAGUUUCAAAUUACUCGUCGCAGAAAUGGAUGUAUCUAGAACUAAAAUACAUCUAGAUACAUCCAUACCUGCGACAAGUAAUUUGGAACGGAGGGAGUAUAUG
rnacentral:pre_miRNA from 1 species